rnacentral:rRNA from 1 species
UAGGGAAUCUUCCGCAAUGGACGAAAGUCUGACGGAGCAACGCCGCGUGAGUGAAGAAGGAUUUCGGUUCGUAAAACUCUGUUGUUAGGGAAGAAAAAAUGUAUAGUAACUAUAUACAAAAGAGACGGUACCUAACCAGAAAGCCACGGCUAACUACGUGCCAGCAGCCGCGGUAAUACGUAGGUGGCAAGCGUUGUCCGGAAUUAUUGGGCGUAAAGCGCGCGCAGGUGGUUUAGAAAGUCUGAUGUGAAAGCCCACGGCUCAACCGUGGAGGGUCAUUGGAAACUAAUAAACUUGAGUGCAGGAGAGAAAAGUGGAAUUCCUAGUGUAGCGGUGAAAUGCGUAGAGAUUAGGAGGAACACCGGUGGCGAAAGCGGCUUUAUAGCCUGAAACUGACACUGAGGCGCGAAAGCGUGGGGAGCAAACAGG